CACGAUGGGCUUCCAAACCCUGUGGACGUGGCCUGGGAGGAGCCUGCCUCCAACUUGGGGCUCAUCAUGGGGUGUCUCCUGGGGGUUCUCCUCCUCAUCGCUGUGAUGGCUGGGAUUGCUGUCUAUUUCAAAAAACAUCAAGAUGGGUACUCCACAGCUGCACGAAGUGACCAAGGAGCCAACAGCUCUGGGACAGGGACUGGUGUGCCCAUCUAGCAACCUCAAAGCAGCAUGAGUGACAGGUCUGCCUUGGAGGAGGAGAGAGGAAGAGUGACAUCCCAGUCUCAGCACCUGAGGGUUUCUCCCCCAUCUUCACUGCCUUGUCCCCUGACCAGCUGAUAAGAAUGUUUUUCAUCGAAAGGAGCUGGACUUGAAAUGACGUUUAUGCAUAUUGGGAUGCAUUUUGCAGAUGAAAGGAGGACCUUAGGCUGUUCAUCUGAUUCUUUUAAAAGUAGUUCAUUGGUACUACCUUUAAACUAAACUGUGCUCUCCAUAAGAGGAAAGUAAUCCCUCUGGCAUAAAUGUGAAAUGCCUGCAGUCCUGUGGGUGACUUACAAGGGAAUGUGUCUCCCUCUGGAUGGAGUUGGGGGGCUGUUCCUGUUCCUUUGUGCCCCUCAGAGUCUGUCCAGCCUGGAGGAGCCACUGCUGCUCUUCUUCAUGGGCAGAAUGAGUCCGAAGAGAGAGAAGGAAGGGGAGAGGAAGGGAAGGGAGCCCAUACUCCUCCACCUGGGAGAGAGGACAGGGUGCCCGCUGGCCCUCCCCUCAAGCCCUGGCCAGGAAGCUUCCCCACCCGCAGCCUCCCUGCUCCAGGCUUCCUUCAGGCUUCUUUUCUCAAAGGUGGAGAGAAAAAGGAGAAUGUGCUUCUGCCCAGAAAUAAGAAGCCUUCUUCAGAGUGUGUCUCUGUUGCGGA